UACGUAGGGUGCAAGCGUUGUCCGGAAUUACUGGGCGUAAAGAGUUCGUAGGCGGUUUGUCGCGUCGUUUGUGAAAACCAGCAGCUCAACUGCUGGCUUGCAGGCGAUACGGGCAGACUUGAGUACUGCAGGGGAGACUGGAAUUCCUGGUGUAGCGGUGAAAUGCGCAGAUAUCAGGAGGAACACCGGUGGCGAAGGCGGGUCUCUGGGCCGAAACUGACGCUGAGGAGCGAAAGCGUGGGGAGCGAACAGG
rnacentral:rRNA from 1 species